CGUGAAACCGUCCAGGGGUAAACCUGCGAAACUCGAAUGAACGAACGGAGAGAUUCAUCGUCAUUCCUCGGCGCACUCGCGUCGGCUCGAUGUCCUCGGCCUCGGUCGGCGGGCACGGGUCGCGUGUGUAGCGUCCGGGGACGGCGUGCACUUCUCUCUUAGUAAUACAUCGCGACCCGUUCGAUGUCGGUCUAAGUGCCCUUCGGGAGUCUAAACUUCCUUGUGUCGAGUAGACCGGAGGUGUCACCGACCGGCCGUCGGACGGUAUAACAUAGGAAACGCGCACGCGCUUGUCGCGUCCGGCCCGACGCAAGGCAACGUCGUAUCCCUCGUCCUGCCCGAGUGCGGACGGGGGUGCGGCGCGCCUGUCGCUCGCUGCCGUGAGUCUCGGACUGUGCGCGUGUCCGUCUGCGA
rnacentral:rRNA from 1 species